rnacentral:rRNA from 1 species
GAUGAACGCUGGCGGCGUGCCUAAUACAUGCAAGUCGAGCGAACGGACGAGAAGCUUGCUUCUCUGAUGUUAGCGGCGGACGGGUGAGUAACACGUGGAUAACCUACCUAUAAGACUGGGAUAACUUCGGGAAACCGGAGCUAAUACCGGAUAAUAUUUUGAACCGCAUGGCUCAAAAGUGAAAGACGGUCUUGCUGUCACUUACAGAUGGAUCCGCGCUGCAUUAGCUAGUUGGUAAGGUAACGGCUUACCAAGGCAACGAUGCAUAGCCGACCUGAGAGGGUGAUCGGCCACACUGGAACUGAGACACGGUCCAGACUCCUACGGGAGGCAGCAGUAGGGAAUCUUCCGCAAUGGGCGAAAGCCUGACGGAGCAACGCCGCGUGAGUGAUGAAGGUCUUCGGAUCGUAAAACUCUGUUAUUAGGGAAGAACAUAUGUGUAAGUAACUGUGCACAUCUUGACGGUACCUAAUCAGAAAGCCACGGCUAACUACGUG